UCGGCCCUGCUGUGUGCGUGAUGCAGCAAGAGGUCUUGAGCCAACACUUAUCAAACGGGACCUGUAGUUUCAUUCGGGACGCGAUAGGCUUCGGCCAAGGCGGAGCGGUGAACAAGGUCCCACCUGCGAAAGCAGGUUCAAGAUCACGCUGCACACGGCAUGGUGGGGCUCCC
rnacentral:other from 1 species